rnacentral:rRNA from 1 species
UACGAAGGGGGCUAGCGUUGUUCGGAUUUACUGGGCGUAAAGGGCGCGUAGGCGGCUUUGUAAGUUACUUGUGAAAUCUUCGGGCUUAACUCGGAGCGGCCAAGUGAUACUGCAGAGCUAGAGUGUAGAAGGGGCAACUGGAAUUCUUGGUGUAGCGGUGAAAUGCGUAGAUAUCAAGAGGAACACCUGAGGCGAAGGCGGGUUGCUGGGCUAACACUGACGCUGAGGCGCGAAAGCUAGGGGAGCAAACAGG